rnacentral:rRNA from 1 species
AUUGAACGCUGGCGGCAUGCCUUACACAUGCAAGUCGAACGGUAACGGGCCUUCGGGUGCCGCCGAGUGGCGCACGGGUGCGUAAUACAUCGGAACGUGCCCGAUCGUGGGGGAUAACGAGGCGAAAGCUUUGCUAAUACCGCAUACGAUCUACGGAUGAAAGCAGGGGACCGCAAGGCCUUGCGCGGACGGAGCGGCCCAUGGCAGAUUAGGUAGGUGGUGGGAUAAAAGCUUACCAAGCCGACGAUCUGUAGCUGGUCUGAGAGGAUGAUCAGCCACACUGGGACUGAGACACGGCCCAGACUCCUACGGGAGGCAGCAGUGGGGAAUUUUGGACAAUGGGCGCAAGCCUGAUCCAGCCAUGCCGCGUGCAGGAUGAAGGCCUUCGGGUUGUAAACUGCUUUUGUACGGAACGAAAAGCCUUCUUUUAAUACAGGAGGGUCAUGACGGUACCGUAAGAAUAAGCACCGGCUAACUACGUG